rnacentral:rRNA from 1 species
CGCGGCCUAUCAGCUUGUUGGUGAGGUAAUGGCUCACCAAGGCUUCGACGGGUAGCCGGCCUGAGAGGGCGACCGGCCACACUGGGACUGAGAUACGGCCCAGACUCCUACGGGAGGCAGCAGUGGGGAAUAUUGCACAAUGGGCGCAAGCCUGAUGCAGCAACGCCGCGUGCGGGAUGGCGGCCUUCGGGUUGUAAACCGCUUUCAGUAGGGACGAAGCUAACGUGACGGUACCUACAGAAGAAGGACCGGCUAACUACGUGCCAGCAGCCGCGGUGAUACGUAGGGUCCGAGCGUUGUCCGGAAUUAUUGGGCGUAAAGGGCUUGUAGGCGGUCCGUCGCGUCAGGAGUGAAAACUCGGGGCUUAACCCCGAGCCUGCUUUUGAUACGGGCGGACUAGAGGGAUGCAGGGGAGAACGGAAUUCCUGGUGGAGCGGUGGAAUGCGCAGAUAUCAGGAGGAACACCGGUGGCGAAGGCGGUUCUCUGGGCAUCACCUGACGCUGAGAAGCGAAAGCGUGGGGAGCAAACAGGCUUAGAUACCCUGGUAGUCCACGCCGUAAACGGUGGGCACUAGGUGUGGGGGACAUUCCACGUUCUCCGUGCCGAAGCUAACGCAUUAAGUGCCCCGCCUGGGGAGUACGG